rnacentral:rRNA from 1 species
AGCAGCCGCGGUAAUUCCAGCUCCAAUAGCGUAUAUUAAAGUUGUUGCAGUUAAAAAGCUCGUAGUUGAAUUUCGGGGUCAGUAAGUUGGUCGUGCCACUGGUAUGCACUGGCUUUACUGACUCCUCCUUCUUGAAGAACUGUGAUGCCAUUAAUUUGGUGUUGCAGGGAAACAGGACUGUUACUUUGAAAAAUUAGAGUGUUUAAAGCAGGCUAACGCUUGAAUACAUUAGCAUGGAAUAAUGAAAUAGGACGCUCGAUCCUAUUUUGUUGGUUUCUAGGGUUGACGUAAUGAUUAAUAGGGAUAGUUGGGGGCAUUAGUAUUCAAUUGUCAGAGGUGAAAUUCUUGGAUUUAUUGAAGACUAACUACUGCGAAAGCAUUUGCCAAGGAUGUUUUCAUUAAUCAAGAACGAAAGUUAGGGGAUCGAAGACGAUCAGAUACCGUCGUAGUCUUAACCAUAAACUAUGCCGACUAGGGAUCGGAUGAUGUUAAUUUUUAAUGA